CCGACGGUGAGGGGCGAAAGCUGGGGGAGCAAACCGGAUUAGAUACCCGGGUAGUCCCAGCUGUAAACGAUGCGCGUUAGGUGUGUCAGUGACCACGUGUCACUGAUGUGCCGAAGGGAAACCGUGAAACGCGCCGCCUGGGGAGUACGGUCGCAAGGCUGAGACUUAAAGGAAUUGGCGGGGGAGCACCACAACGGGUGGAGCCUGCGGUUUAAUCGGACUCAACGCCGGAAAUCUCACCGGAUAA
rnacentral:rRNA from 1 species